UACGUAGGGCGCAAGCGUUGUCCGGAAUUAUUGGGCGUAAAGAGCUCGUAGGCGGCUUGUCACGUCGGAUGUGAAAGCCCGGGGCUUAACUCCGGGUCUGCAUUCGAUACGGGCUGGCUAGAGUGUGGUAGGGGAGAUCGGAAUUCCUGGUGUAGCGGUGAAAUGCGCAGAUAUCAGGAGGAACACCGGUGGCGAAGGCGGAUCUCUGGGCCUUACCUGACGCUCAGGCGCGAAAGCUAGGGGAGCGAACAGG
rnacentral:rRNA from 1 species